ACUUUAUUAGAAGAGACGCAUUUAUUAGAUAAAAAGCCAAUGCAUGCUUUUACAGUAUGAAAAUUGGUGAUUUAUAAUAACUUAGCAAAUCGCAAAGUGAAAACAGGCGAUAAAUCAUUCAAGUUUCUGACCUAUCAGCUUUCGACGGUAUGGUAUUGGCUUACCGUGGCAGUGACGGUUAACGGGGGAUUAGGGUUCGAUUCCGGAGAGGGAGCCUGAGAAACGGCUACCACAUCUAAGGAAGGCAGCAGGCGCGCAAAUUACCCAAUUCUAACAGUUUGAGAGAGGUAGUAACAAGAAAUAACAAUACAAGGCAGUUAAAAUGCUUUGUAAUUGGAAUGAUAGAAAUUUAAACCCUUUUUAAAGUAUCAAUUGGAGGGCAAGUCUGGUGCCAGCAGCCGCGGUAAUUCCAGCUCCAAUAGCGUAUAUUAAAAUUGUUGCAGUUAAAAAGCUCGUAGUUGAAGUUCUGCUAAAAGUAACCGGUCUGCUUUUAAUAAAGGUGGUAUCUUGGUGUGUAUUUAGCAAUGAUGUCCUUUGAAGUGUUUUUUACUUUAUUGUAAUAAAGCAUAUUCAGGACUUUUACUUUGAGAAAAUUAGAGUGUUUCUAGCAGGCUAACGCUUUGAAUACUGCA
rnacentral:rRNA from 1 species